CGGUCUUUGGCCGUCGAGUUGUAGUCUGGAGAAGUGCUUUCCUGGACCGUGUAUAAGUCUCUUGGAACAGAGCUCAUAGAGGGUGAGAAUCCCGUCUUUGACACGGACUACCAGUGCUUUGUGAUGCGCUCUCAAAGAGUCGCUUGUUUGGGAAUGCAGCGCAAA
rnacentral:rRNA from 1 species